rnacentral:rRNA from 1 species
CUACCAUGGCAUUCACGGGUAACGGAGGAUUAGGGUUCGAUUCCGGAGAGGGAGCCUGAGAAACGGCUACCACAUCUAAGGAAGGCAGCAGGCGCGUAAAUUACCCAAUCCUGACUCAGGGAGGUAGUGACAAGAAAUAGCAAGAAGUACCUAGUAUUUCAUUGAAAUGAGCCGAAUUUACACCACUUAGUGAGGAUCAAUUGGAGGGCAAGUCUGGUGCCAGCAGCCGCGGUAAUUCCAGCUCCAAUAGCGUAUAUUAAAGUUGUUGCAGUUAAAAAGCUCGUAGUUGGACUUCUGGCUGGGCGCCGAGGUGACACAAAGUGUUCGCCAGGCACCGGCCAUCCUUCUGUAAACUAGGUUAGUACUUCAUUGGACUGCCUAGGGAUCAGAUAAUUUACCUUGAGAAAAUUAGAGUGUUUCAGGCAGGCUUAGCCGGAAUACAUUAGCAUGGAAUAAUGGAAUAGGACUAUGGUCUCGUUGUUGGUUUGAGGGAUCGCAGUAAUGAUUAAUAGGGAUAGUUGGGGGCAUUAGUAUUUAUUAGCUAGAGGUGGAAUUCUCUAAUUUAAUAAAGACUAACUUAUGCGAAAGCAUUUGCCAAGGAUGUUUUCAUUAAUCAA